GCGGAGCGCGCUGUCUUAUCCGAUCACGUCUUCCUAUGGUGAUACACAGUGUGAGAUGUCAGACCGUAUACAUUCGCCCUGUGACUGGUAUUCUGGAAAUCAGGACCAAGCAGCCCAAUGUGAAGCAAUUAAGGCUUUUGCAGCUGAUUGUGCUCUACAGCAAGGAAUGGAGAGAAGGCGUUUUCACUCUGAAGCGAUUGCAGCAAGCAGCGUGCCACGGCAGUCACCGCUCUGCCAGCAUUACCUUCGGGUUAUUGUUUCGGCCUGAGCAUGUUUGUCUCGACUCUGCUCGCCUGGCCCGCUGGCCUAAUUGAAUUUCUUAUCAUGUCUGUAUCUGCUGCCAAUGCACGGAGGAAGAUCACUUCUUCCUCGAAGUGGGAUAUUGUGUAGUAAAAACUGAACGCAGCAGACGCAGCCUGAGGAAGUGCAUGGGGAAGGGAGAAAAAGGAAGAGGCUGAAGAUGAGGACAAACCCAGGAGCAUCGAGAACCUUCUGGUGAAGCG